GAGGGAGGAUGGCAGGCUGCGGUGGCUUCAGGUCCUCUCCUCUGUGACAUCAUGUCCAGAAUGGGCCUCUACCAACCGUUUCCUAAAACUCAUCUCCUGGGUUUUAUCUACUCUGAAAAUACAGCAGGCGGCUCAACGUGUCCUGGGACCUGGAUCAAAAUAAGGUCAUUUUCAUAAUUGAGCGGAUCUACAGUAGCUCCAAGAUCUGAAGAUUUCUCAGGAGUUUGGGGGUCACAGGCUUCCAAGGAAAACCAGGUCCCAGGAAUCGGUGGAACCCUCCAGCCAUGGGAGGGGCAGGAAAUGAGGGGUAGAAACCAAACAGGAGGGAGAACGGAAUGUGCUCCUGUCCCAUUGGAGAGAACCCAGUCACAUGGUCUCCCUCGCCGCAAGGGAUGUUGGGUGAUGUAGUUCCUACUGGGCAGCAAGGUGCCCAUCUAACAGGAAGGAUUCCACUCCUACACAGAAGGGGGACGUGCCCCGCUGAAUCCCAUUUUUUUUUUCAAUAAGACAGAUAUAUUAUUUAUUCCUGAAGGAUAUUACAGAAGACCAGAUCAGACCGACUACAACUGACCUGUCACUUGGAGGUACCCACAUCUAAACACUUUACUGAUUUUUCUGCCAUUUCUAAAAUCCCCUCUGCCUGGAGAGCAUUUUUCAUGCCAGCCUCACAAGGGCCAUCUCAGAUAUCCUAUCCUGUGUGAAGGUCUCCAAAUGGAUCCCGCACCUGCUCGGAUUGCAGUGCUCUCCUGGGUGGGUGUUGGUGCCUCUCACCUCCUACACAGCAGUUGCUUAUUAAAUGGGAAGAGCUGGCACCCUCCCUGGUUCUACCCAGCGCUGUUAUGGUGAGCUGGACUCCAUGGGCUAAUAACAUCGUGUCAUCCAAAGCCAACCCUGAGAUCAUUUAUUCCCGUUUCACAAAUAUAAAAACAGAGCCUUAGCAGGAUUCCACUUCCCCAAGCCACUGAGUCAAGAAGCAGGCUCUCAGUCCCCUUCCCCUGUCCCCUUCCCCCAUUUCUUGAAGUGAACUGGAUAAAAAAUUCUCCUUUUAGUGGACAGCAGUGAACUGUCAGGAUGCUAAUGUUUAUAGGUGGCCUUCAGAAUUCUUUGUAUUUUUCCAUAGGAGGCUGAUCUGUUCAUGAACUUAUGGCUUCAUAUCUAAGUUUUGAGGGGCAAAGGAGCACUUCCUAUUAAUAAAUCAACCUUUCCACCUGGGGCCAUUGUUCUCACGUAAAAGUCCUGUGUAUUGCCAAAUCAAAGACCUGGCUGAACAAAACACCAGCCUAGAAACCCUUAUGGAAAAAGACUUGUGUAAGUCUUUUUGAUUGAAAUUUGGUUUAACGAAUCAAUUUUUUUUUCCCGAAAGAUCCUAUAUGAUGUCAAAGGACAAGAAACCACCUGGGAGCCUUAUUUGCAAUAUACAGCAAAAGACCAAUUUCCUUAGUAUAUAAAGAGCUCUUAGGAAUAAUUUGGGAAACAAUAGUCCCAAAAGAGGAAGGGAAAGAGGAGAGAAGAAGAAAGGGAGAUGAAGAAGAAAUAGUGGUGAAGAAAUUCAGAUGGGCUUAAAUGUAACUAACCUUUCUCAAGAUUCAGGAAGCCCUACUUUAUCUCCAUUAGAUGGACAGCUCUCCAGGCUUUUGAUGAUACAAAAUCGAUUCCUGCAACUUUCCAACGUCUCCACGGUCGGAGAAUUCCCACGAAGACCCCUUCACUAGAGGAUUCAUCAUGCAUGUUUGUUACGUCAAGUAAGAACGUUGGGAUUUCCACUUCGGCAGAAAUUAGGUGACACAGCUGAGUGGCAGCCUCGUGGACAUAGAUGAAGGCCAGCCAGGGUCUAAGACACCAGGCAGACUGUGGGGAUGAGAUAAAUGCGAGGUCCUCAGGUGAUUCAUCUCACCCAUCACCACAGGAGGAGAUAAAGCCUUCCCAGUGAUGACGGCUCUGGUUUUUCCUUUGUAACCAAGUUGGCGAUACCUGUUAUCACGAUCCAGUUCCAAAAGUAGAAUCAUGUCUACGUAAAUUUUUGCUGGUUAAAAAUUAGAGUUUUCAAAGAAUUGUGAA